rnacentral:rRNA from 1 species
GCAUAACGCGAAGAACCUUACCUAGGCUUGACAUGCAUCUCUAAGCGCGUGAAAGCGCGUGACCCUUCGAGGGUGGUAAACAGGUGCUGCAUGGCUGUCGUCAGCUCGUGCCGUGAGGUGUUUGGUUAAGUCCAGCAACGAACGCAACCCCUAUGUCUAGUUGCCAGCGAGUAAUGUCGGGGACUCUAGACAGACUGCCUGUUCACACGGGAGGAAGGUGGGGACGACGUCAAGUCAGUAUGGCCCUUACAUCCGGGGCUGCACACGUGCUACAAUGGCCGGCACAAAGGGACGCUAAACCGCGAGGUGGCGCAAACCCCCAGAACCGGCCCCAGUUCGGAUUGCGGUCUGCAACCCGACCGCAUGAAGUCGGAUUCGCUAGUAACGGCGUAUCAGCAACGACGCCGUGAAUACGUUCCCGGGUCUUGUACACACCG